AGAGGAAACGUUUUUGCAAAGGAUGUUGAGCUGCAUGCUUUUGUCCCGAGACCACCUUUCAAACAGCAUAAGAAGAAGCACGGUCUGCUUUAUACCUCAACAUGAGAAAUCCAGUGGCAAAGUUGACAGCUUGACCUCCACACGUCCCUUGAUUUUCAACACAACUUACCCCGUAGUAUCAAAACUAGUAAUGGUUACAGAGAAACAACUGCUACUAGCGAAAAC